AACGAACGUUAGCGAGAUGUUUUAAGCAUGCAAGUCGAGCGGCAGCACUUCGGGUGGCGAGCGGCAAACGGGUGAGUAAUGGAUAGCUAUCUACCCUUUAGACUGGAAUAGCCACUGGAAACAGUGAUUAAUGCCGGAUAUGAGGAAACUUGAAAGACGCGUUCGCGUCACUAAGGGAUGAGGCUUUCUCCUAUUAGCUUGUUGGUGGGGUAAUGGCCUACCAAGGCGAUGAUAGGUAGCCGGCUUGAGAGGGUGAUCGGCCACACUGGGACUGAGAUACGGCCCAGACUCUUACGGGAGGCAGCAGCUAAGAAUAUUCCGCAAUGGGGGAAACCCUGACGGAGCAAUCUCGCGUGGGCGAUGAAGGUCUUAGGAUCGUAAAGUCCUUUCGAUAAGGAAUAAUAAGCAUGUUAGGAAAUGAUCAUGUGAUGACUGUACUUAUAGUAAGAAUCCCCGGCUAACUACGUGCCAGCAGCCGCGGUAAUACGUAGGGGGAGAACGUUGUUCGGAAUCACUGGGCGUAAAGCGUGUGUAGGCGGCUAUGUAAGUGGGUGGUGUAAUGUCAAGGCUCAACCUUGAGACUGCUUCCUAUACUACAUAGCUGGAGUUAUUGAUAGAGGUAGUAGGAAUUUCUGGUGUAGGAGUGAAAUCUGUAGAUAUCAGAAGGAACACCAAUGGCGAAGGCAAGCUACUGGGUAAUGACUGACGCUGAGACACGAAAGCUAGGGGAGCAAAUGGGAUUAGAGACCCCAGUAGUCCUAGCCGUAAACGCUGUACACUCGUUGUUCGAUUCGAUAGUCUUGAGCAACCAAGUUAACGCAUUAAGUGUACCGCCUGGGAAGUAUGCACGCAAGUGUGAAACUCAAAGGAAUUGACGGGGGCUCGCACAAGUGGUGGAGCAUGUGGUUUAAUUCGAUGAUACGCGAAAAACCUUACCUAGGCUUAAACGUGUAGUGACAGAUGAUGAAAGUCAUUUUCCUUUCGGGGUACUAUGCGAGAUGCUGCAUGGCUGUCGUCAGCUCGUGUUGUGAGAUGUUGGGUUAAGUCCCGCAACGAGCGCAACCCAUAUCCUGUGUUGCUAAUUUAUAGGACUCUCAGGAGACUGCCCGGGUUAACCGGGAGGAAGGUGUGGAUGACGUCAAGUCCUCAUGGCUCUUACGUCUAGGGCUACACACGUGCUACAAUGGGGCGUACAGAAAGAAGCGAGACCGCGAGGUGGAGCAGAUCUCAAAAACGUCUCUUAGUUCGGAUUGUAGUCUGUAACUCGACUAUAUGAAGCUGGAAUCACUAGUAAUCGCAGAUCAGCAUGCUGCGGUGAAUACGUUCCCGAGCCUUGUACACACCGCCCGUCACACCACCUGAGUUGAUUUUACCCGAAGUCGUAGUACCAACCCGCAAGGGAGGGAGACGCCUAAGGUGAAGUUGAUAAAGAGGGUG
rnacentral:rRNA from 1 species